rnacentral:lncRNA from 1 species
GGAAACUAACGCGAGAUCAGCCCUCAAAUGGGGGCGGAGGUUUUCCUGUGAGAUCAGCCUACGAGCUGGGGGCGGAGGUUCUUCUUGCUUUGUUGCGGGGUGCUGCGGCCAGAGUUUGGGGGUACCACGGAGGAGGAGGAGGACGAGCAGGACGAGGAGGGACGUUCGCAGGUGUCCGCGGCAGUGGCUGGACACCGAGGCAGCAGCUGAUGCCGGCUGGCCACAUUGUCAUCAGUUGCAUUGCACAGUAGGAAGAAGAUCCACCUGGGCAGUCCUGUUCUUUAUUUGGUGGCCCUUUGGAGAAUAGACCAGAUUUUUCCCACCCCUGCUGGGUCAAGAUUGAAGUCUUCGAGUGGUCAUAUUUAUGUCCUAGAAGAGGAGGGGCAAGAAGCUAGCUAGAACAGGUACAGAGUUUGAAGGAGGUUUAUUGUUUGAAAA